UUGUGGGGGUUUGAUGGUUUGAGACAAACACUGUUUUUCAAAUGAUUUCAAAAAUGGAGUAACGUUACUGUGAUAGUACAGGUAAUACAUUUUGCCACAAUUUUAACCCAAACGCCAGUUUGCAUAUAUUAGUCAUCACUGUCAUUCAUAUUAGGCUACUUGGCACUGGAUGCAACAUUAUGUUUUUAGUAAAAUGUGUUCAAAAGUUAAGGGCGUAUCAAAAGGUCGGACUAUCGAGAUCCAAAACAUUUUUAACACAUUUUAAGCAGAGGCUUUAUGUGGUCCAUUGGAGAAGGUUAUUUUUACACAAGCUUGUAUCAGAUGUCAGCGCACUGUGAUCUGCUGACCCGCAGAACAGCCAGAGCCGAGCUCGCUCUGGAGGACACGUUGAUCCAAUCACAACACGUCUCCAUCAUGGCCAAGCAGACGCAAGAUGAAGAUACUGGGACACACAAAUACCGGCUGCCUCAAAACAUAGAAAACAAUGAAACUGGAUGUCUUCAACCCUGGGUCUGUUGUGAAAGCACUCUCGUAUUUUGCCCCGGGUUAUAUAGAGCUGGAAUAUGAUACGAGACCAACUCGCACUCCACGUGGAAGAACGGCGUCGCUUCUUUGAGUGAUUUCAAAGAAAAGGAAUGAAGCUAAUAAAGGUGGUGAAGGAUUGAUUAUA